rnacentral:rRNA from 1 species
UACGUAGGGGGCAAGCGUUGUCCGGAAUCAUUGGGCGUAAAGAGCGCGCAGGCGGUCGUACAAGUCGCGUGUGAAAGCCCCUGGCUCAACUGGGGAGGGUCACGCGAUACUGUUCGACUCGAAGGCAGGAGAGGGAAGUGGAAUUCCCGGUGUAGUGGUGAAAUGCGUAGAUAUCGGGAGGAACACCAGUGGCGAAGGCGACUUCCUGGCCUGUUCUUGACGCUGAGGCGCGAAAGCUAGGGUAGCAAACGGG